UGUUUCUAAAAGUCAUUACUAAAUAAGCGUUUCUAAAGAUCAUUAUGUUCUCUAAUAUUUUACUAAAUAAAAAGCCAAAGAAAUGGGUUGUUCCCAUCUCGUGUUCACAACUGCGUCGUUCCCAUCGCCGACGCCCAUCCCCGCCGCGCAUCGAUCAUCGAUCUUCACCGCCGUUUCUGAGCCACCGUGACACCACCAACCCUCGCCGAUGUUGAAGACGAACCCAAACUCUGACUGGAGACGGUGGCCACAAAAUCGAUGCUGGUCAAUGCACUCACGCAUCAAAUCGCGAAGCUCCAUUCUUCUUCUCGAAGCUCCAUAAUCGCUGCCUCUGCGAUGGUUGUUCUGUAUGGAGAUCUCUCUCGCGCCCUUGUGAUACUCAUUCCUCUGCUCUUCAUCCAUGGCGGUCUCUGCUUCUACCUCCCUGGCAUAGUGCCGCAAGAUUUCCAGAAGGUUAUGUGAGGGUGGAGAACUGCUGGAUCAGAUAUUGGCCUAGUGUGGGCCUAUGAAUUGCUAAUUGAGAAUGACAUUAUUGAGAAAGGGGGCAGGAACCGAAGAAGAUAAAAUAGUAGAUGGCUUGUAAUGGGAGCAGAAGCAGACAUAUAUAAGUUGGGGAUGUGGGAACCACCUGAAUCUAAUGGGAUGCUUUCAAAAACGCUAGCAUGAACAAGAACUGCGAGCAGUCUGAGGGAAUCUGUUUCCAUUUGGCUACAUUUUCUAUCUAUUAAAGUUUUUUCCUCCUUCGAUCAAUAGUUAAUAAUUUUGCAUAAUGUGUUAAAUUCUUACCCUCCUUGCCGUGCUUAUUUUAUUAUUUACUUUCAUUUUUUCCUGCUAUACAUUGGUGGUUACUAAUGAUGCAUGCUAUUUUCACUUUCAGGUAAACAGAGUCAUGGAACUCCCACAAGAUAGUAAGGUAGUAGCCAAGCACACAGAUAGU